rnacentral:rRNA from 1 species
UACGUAGGGGGCAAGCGUUGUCCGGAUUUAUUGGGCGUAAAGAGCGUGUAGGCGGCCAGGCAGGUCCGCUGUGAAAACUCGAGGCUCAACCUCGAGAUGUCGGCGGAAACCGUCUGGCUAGAGUCCGGAAGAGGAGAGUGGAAUUCCUGGUGUAGCGGUGAAAUGCGCAGAUAUCAGGAAGAACACCUAUGGCGAAGGCAGCUCUCUGGGACGGUACUGACGCUGAGACGCGAAAGCGUGGGGAGCGAACAGG